UCACUGAGAACUGCCAUCUCCUACCUGCUAAACAGCUUUCCUUACAUUUACCAGAUUCGAGGGUGUCCUUUCCAGGAAUAAAGAAAAGGACUGUUUACUGCACGAUCUCUUGAUAUCACGGAACAAUUCUUCCAACACUACAAAGUGAAAUCUCAUAAAGAAAUGGGUACCCGAA